UGCAAAGUUCAUAUCAACUUUGUUUUUAAUAUAUAUUAAUAUAAUAUAAAUCAAUUUUGACAAAACAAAUUUUAUCUGUAGGAAAAUUGCCUCUAAAAUAAUGGCAGGUAGCUGGAAAGAACCACAGAAGAAGGUAAUGUAAAUAUAAAUGUGUGUUGCUAGUAUAAGACAAAAAACAUACACAGAUAUCUCCUUUACUAAUCACCUCUUCAUAUGAUCGAAUCUACACAAACAGACUGACAGCCGGGACUGCUCAGGGUAAGUGGAGGACACUCUGCCAGUAGUAAGACGUAAAUGUUGAUUUCAAAUAAUAACUUGCUUUUUUUUAGUAUGCUCUCUACAUCGCUACUAGAAGAGAAUUUGACUUCAGUCAGGUCAGUGGUUUAAGUGUAAGAUUUGCUUGAAUAUUGUGAUUUUUUUUAUUCAUAGAAUUUAUUGUAAUUUCCCGAUUUACAUUUUUUAGGAAGACAUGCCAAAAAUUAGAAGAUGGUUGUGUCAUCUCUGACUUCGCAAAGCCAGCAUUAAAGCCAAGACAUCGAUCUUCACUUUCUACACGAGAAGAAGGACAUUCUGUGCCCCACGGGCAGUGCUUCGUAAUUAUCAGUUGAAAAGUUUUCUGACACUAAUUUUAUAUAUUAGAACUUCACAAAAAGACUUUGACCAACUGGUCACACUGCAGGUCUCCGGUGAGGCUGUCAGUAACUUGUGAUUCUCGUCAGCCCUGUGGUGUGUCAGUGCCGUUAUGGGGACAGAGAAUGGUGGUCUUAAAAAUGAGUGUUUUGUGUGCUUGUGCUCUAACUGAUUUAUUAAAUGGCAAUUAUUUCUGCUUCCAGCAAUUCCAGACAAGAUAGGAAAGAGCAAGGACUUUUCUCCCCCACCCUUCUUUUCCAUUACUAAAGAAUAUGAAAAUGUUGACUGAAUUAUUUAUGCCAGUGCAAUCAUAUUAAGCAUAUUUAUGGUUACAUUUAGUUGUUAGCAAAUUGUACCUCACAAAGGCACAGUCCUGUCAGGUAUGUAGUAAAAUGAUUCUUAUGGCACAGCCAAUGCCUUAAAGGUGAUGACUUUCUUUUUCCUUUUCAAUAUCAUUCAGAAAUCAACCAAUCUAGAAUGGAGUGAUUGUUUGCUUCAGGUAAACACUUUCCAUUAUGUAUAACUUUUUAGAUGUAGCAUUUCUAUUGUAAUAUGUUUGGGUGAAUGUUUCAGCAGUUUUUAAAGCAUGCUUACUAAACUGGGAACAAUUAAAUUACAUAUUAUUUAAAAUGAUGAUAUUUGAAAUGAUGAAUUUGGCCUUCACAAGUGACAAUGCUGUGGUAAUUGGACUCUUUGUCUUUCAGGGACUCACUUCAGUACAAUUCCAGUAGACGUUCAGAUUGAACUGAAAUGGGUCUUACAGCAAUGUAUUAGUAAAUAAAAAUGAAUGCUUUUUUCACUACAGA